GACGAACGCUGGCGGCGUGCUUAACACAUGCAAGUCGAACGGUGAAGGGGUCUGCUUUUGUGAGCCCUGGAUGAGUGGCGAACGGGUGAGUAACACGUGAGUAACCUGCCCCCUUCUUCUGGAUAACCGCAUGAAAGUGUGGCUAAUACGGGAUAUUCUGGGUCUGUCGCAUGAUGGGUCUGGGAAAGAUUGCGCUUUUGGGUGUUUUUGGUGGGGGAUGGGCUCGCGGCCUAUCAGCUUGUUGGUGGGGUGAUGGCCUACCAAGGCGGUGACGGGUAGCCGGCCUGAGAGGGUGGACGGUCACACUGGGACUGAGACACGGCCCAGACUCCUACGGGAGGCAGCAGUGGGGAAUAUUGCACAAUGGGCGCAAGCCUGAUGCAGCGACGCCGCGUGAGGGAUGGAGGCCUUCGGGUUGUAAACCUCUUUCGCCAGUGAAGCAGGCCUGCUCCUUGUGGGUGGGUUGACGGUAGCUGGAUAAGAAGCGCCGGCUAACUACGUG
rnacentral:rRNA from 1 species